ACCACCGCCACCGCCGCCGCCACCGCCACCGCCACCCCCAAGAAACUAGCUUUAAUCCCACUUGUUUUCCUUAUCUUCUUUGAGGUCUCCGGCGGGCCAUAUGGUGAAGAAUCCACCGUGGGUGCUGCAGGGCCUCUUUGGGCCAUAUUGGGCUUCCUCAUUUUUCCCUUUAUCUGGAGCAUCCCUGAGGCUCUCAUCACCGCCGAGCUCACCGCUGCCUUCCCCGGCAACGGCAGUUUUGUCAUCUGGGCUGACCAGGCUUUUGGGCCCUUCUGGGGUUCGCUGUUGGGCUCCUGGAAGUUCCUUACUGGUGUCCUGAACUUGGCCUCAUACCCAGUUCUUUGCAUAGAUUAUCUCAAGCUAGUGUUUCCAGUUUUCUCUACAGGUUUGCCUCACUAUGUUGCAGUAUUAGUCUUAACUUUGAUGCUAUCUUUUCUGAACUACACAGGCUUGGCUAUAGUUGGAUACACUGCAGUGACUUUGGGUGUUGUAUCCCUCUCAC
rnacentral:misc_RNA from 1 species